CCUACGGGGGGCUGCAGUGAGGAAUAUUGGUCAAUGGACGCAAGUCUGAACCAGCCAUGCCGCGUGCAGGAUGACGGCUCUAUGAGUUGUAAACUGCUUUUGUACGAGGGUAAACCCCGAUACGUGUAUGGGGUUGAAAGUAUCGUACGAAUAAGGAUCGGCUAACUCCGUGCCAGCAGCCGCGGUAAUACGGAGGAACCGAGCGUUAUCCGGAUUUAUUGGGUUUAAAGGGUGCGUAGGCGGUUUGCUAAGUUAGAGGGGAAAUGUCGGGGCUCAACCCCGCAACUGCCUCUAAUACUGUUGGCCUAGUGCAUAGUUGCGGUCGCCGGACUGUAUGGUGUAGCGG
rnacentral:rRNA from 1 species